rnacentral:rRNA from 1 species
UACGGAGGGAGCUAGCGUUGUUCGGAAUUACUGGGCGUAAAGCGUGCGCAGGCGGUUCGUUAAGUCAGCUGUGAAAGCCCCGGGCUCAACCUGGGAAUUGCGUUGGAGACUGCAAGGCUGGAGUCUGGCAGAGGGGGGUAGAAUUCCACGUGUAGCAGUGAAAUGCGUAGAGAUGUGGAGGGACACCGAUGGCGAAGGCAGCCCCCUGGGUCAAGACUGACGCUCAUGCACGAAAGCGUGGGGAGCAAACAGG